rnacentral:rRNA from 1 species
GACGAACGCUGGCGGCGUGCUUAACACAUGCAAGUCGAACGGAAAGGCCCUGCUUGCAGGGUACUCGAGUGGCGAACGGGUGAGUAACACGUGGGUGAUCUGCCCUGCACUUCGGGAUAAGCCUGGGAAACUGGGUCUAAUACCGGAUAGGAGCCAUUUUUAGUGUGAUGGUUGGAAAGUUUUUUCGGUGUAGGAUGAGCUCGCGGCCUAUCAGCUUGUUGGUGGGGUAAUGGCCUACCAAGGCGGCGACGGGUAGCCGGCCUGAGAGGGUGGACGGCCACAUUGGGACUGGGAUACGGCCCAGACUCCUACGGGAGGCAGCAGGGGGGAAUAUUGCACAAUGGGCGCAAGCCUGAUGCAGCGACGCCGCGUGGGGGAUGACGGCCUUCGGGUUGUAAACUCCUUUCGCUAGGGACGAAGCUUUUUGUGACGGUACCUAGAUAAGAAGCACCGGCUAACUACGUG